UUCAAUACUUAUUAUUACAGACUCUAUCAAAUUGCUUCUUGAACCGGAUCCAGUUGUGGUUGCAUAUCUAAAAUCAAAAAGUACCUUCGUCAUCCUCUGACAGUUGGUUAUUAAAAUCUGCCCAUGCUUCUGCAACAAGUCCUCUAGGAACUUGUCGCCUGCCCCUAUUGGCUCUUUGCCCCCUGCCUCUAUUGGCUCUUUGACCUCUUCUUAUGGGUAUCCCAACCCUUCCACGCAUUCUUUGCGGUUCUUUUUCAUCUUAAAAAUAAGUAUUAA